CACUCACUCACUCACUCACAGCUGGCUCAAAGCAGUAUGUGGGGAGAGCUGAAUUUUGCUGCCCAAGGAUGAGAGCACUAAGGAGUGAGGCAGUGACUGCUACUUCCAAGAGGACCUCUCCCACCUUCCAAAAAGCAGACAGACACCAUAUGCUCUGGCUUUCUGCAAAGAGUGUGCCUUCUCGACACUCUGGACUGUGCUCACGUGAAUGGCAUUUUAAAGCUAAGUAAUCCCUGGUAAAACAAGUUAAUUCUUUAACUUGAGCAGGGCAAAACCAUGGAAACAAGGACUUCAGAGUGCUGCUAAGCCUGUUGGAUAUACAUCUGUACAGCACCAGGGAAAUACUGGGGUGUCCAUAGUACACAAAUCCCCUGACCUGGGUCUGCAUCAGUCCUUUGGUGGUGCAAACACCCCAGAUGUACUCACCGGGAAACGAAGCACAGAAAACCUGACUGCCCUAGUAAGAUCCCAUAAAGACUGUGGUGGAAAUAAAAAGCCUUAAAAAUCA